CGGGUGCGUAACACGUAUACAAUCUGCCUUUAACAGGGGAUAGCCCGGAGAAAUCCGGAUUAAUACCCCAUAAUAGAUUUGUCGGCAUCGACAGAUUUUGAAAGCUCCGGCGGUUAAAGAUGAGUAUGCGUCUGAUUAGCUAGUUGGUGAGGUAACGGCUCACCAAGGCGACGAUCAGUAGGGGAUCUGAGAGGAUUAACCCCCACACGGAUACUGAGACACGGAUCCG
rnacentral:rRNA from 1 species